rnacentral:rRNA from 1 species
GACGAACGCUGGCGGCGUGCCUAAUACAUGCAAGUUGAGCGAUGAAGCUUGGUGCUUGCACCAAUUUGCAGAGCAGCGAACGGGUGAGUAACGCGUGGGGAAUCUGCCUUUGAGCGGGGGACAACAUUUGGAAACGAAUGCUAAUACCGCAUAACAACUUUAAACAUAAGUUUUAAGUUUGAAAGAUGCAAUUGCCUCACUCAAAGAUGAUCCCGCGUUGUAUUAGCUAGUUGGUGAGGUAAAGGCUCACCAAGGCGAUGAUACAUAGCCGACCUGAGAGGGUGAUCGGCCACAUUGGGACUGAGACACGGCCCAAACGCCUACGGGAGGCAGCAGUAGGGAAUCUUCGGCAAUGGACGAAAGUCUGACCGAGCAACGCCGCGUGAGUGAAGAAGGUUUUCGGAUCGUAAAACUCGGUUGGUAGAGAAGAACGUUGGUGAGAGUGGAAAGCUCAUCAAGUGACGGUAACUACCCAGAAAGGGACGGCUAACUACGUG